rnacentral:rRNA from 1 species
UACGGAGGGUGCAAGCGUUAAUCGGAAUUAUUGGGCGUAAAGGGUGCGUAGGUGGUUUAAUAAGAUAUCUGUGAAAUACCCGGGCUUAACCUGGGCAGGUCAGAUAAGACUGUUAGACUAGAGUAUGGGAGAGGGUAGAGGAAUUUCCGGUGUAGCGGUGAAAUGCGUAGAGAUCGGAAGGAACACCAGUGGCGAAGGCGUCUACCUGGCCUAAUACUGACACUGAGGCACGAAAGCGUGGGUAGCAAACAGG